rnacentral:rRNA from 1 species
AUGGGCGCAAGCCUGACCGAGCGACGCCGCGUGGAGGACGAAGGCCUUCGGGUUGUAAACUCCUGUCGAGGGGGAAGAAGGUCCGCAAGGACUUGACUGAUCCCUGGAGGAAGCACGGGCUAAGUUCGUGCCAGCAGCCGCGGUAAGACGAACCGUGCGAACGUUAUUCGGAAUCACUGGGCUUAAAGCGCGUGUAGGCGGGAGGGCACGUCCGUCGCUGAAAUCCCCCGGCUCAACCGGGGAACGGGCGCGGAUACGACCUUCCUGGAGGGGCGUAGGGGGACCUGGAACUUCCGGUGGAGCGGUGAAAUGCGUUGAGAUCGGAAGGAACGCCCGUGGCGAAAGCGAGGUCCUGGACGCCUACUGACGCUGAGACGCGAAAGCCAGGGGAGCGAACGGGAUUAGAUACCCCGGUAGUCCUGGCCGUAAACGAUGGGCACUGGGUAGGGGGCUCGCCGAUGGGUCCCCUGCCGCAGCGAAAGCGUGAAGUGCCCCGCCUGGGGAGUAUG